UCGACGGUAACGGAAGCAGCUUGCUGCUUCGCUGACGAGUGGCGGACGGGUGAGUAAUGUCUGGGAAACUGCCUGAUGGAGGGGGAUAACUACUGGAAACGGUAGCUAAUACCGCAUAACGUCGCAAGACCAAAGAGGGGGACCUUAGGGCCUCUUGCCAUCGGAUGUGCCCAGAUGGGAUUAGCUAGUAGGUGGGGUAACGGCUCACCUAGGCGACGAUCCCUAGCUGGUCUGAGAGGAUGACCAGCCACACUGGAACUGAGACACGGUCCAGACUCCUACGGGAGGCAGCAGUGGGGAAUAUUGCACAAUGGGCGCAAGCCUGAUGCAGCCAUGCCGCGUGUAUGAAGAAGGCCUUCGGGUUGUAAAGUACUUUCAGCGGGGAGGAAGGGAGUAAAGUUAAUACCUUUGCUCAUUGACGUUACCCGCAGAAGAAGCACCGGCUAACUCCGUGCCAGCAGCCGCGGUAAUACGGAGGGUGCAAGCGUUAAUCGGAAUUACUGGGCGUAAAG
rnacentral:rRNA from 1 species